AUUGAGCGUGCCCAUUGCCCGCUGGGAAAUGUAGUUCAAGUCCGCUUAACGCUGGCCGCGGUGGCUUGUGGGAAAAGUAGGCCCGCGCCCGAAAUUCUCCCGGGAUUCGACGCCCGUUGUAAGGACCACAGUGCGCCGGAUCCCUGAGAUUUUUGUUCUCUCUAUGCUAGCAAUACGCAGAUGCAAAGACGUGUUGCUCUGGCCCAGACGUUUGAGAAAAGCACGUGUCCGAUGUGUCCUAGGAGGUCCAGAAAAUGCCGGGGGACCCAGUUUCCCAAAGCUUCUGGCCUGAUUGCGAAGAGCAGGCUCUGGAAGGGUCACUAGUAUGAUCACGAAGGCGAGCGCCCUAGGAUUACAGGUCUGAGCUACCAAGAGACUAAGUCUUUUUUAGAUCUGCUUACAAUAAGAAAAUAAGACUGGAUUUUAGCUCCUGAGGGCGUGGACCCUAUACUUAUGUCCCAUGAUGUAUGUCCAGCCUUGCUAUAGGUAUUUUUAAAGAAAGUAACUAUUAAAAAAUUGACCCAAAUAACAAUUCUACAUAUUAUCUACCUAUGGGGUAUAAUAUAUUUUGAUAUUUAUUUACAUUGUGAUUAAAUCAAACUAAUUAAAUCCAUCACCUCACAUUCUUAUCCCUUUUUGGUGGAGAAAACUCGUUGCUCUGGCAGAUCUAAGAAUUGGCAGUGUGUACAUUUAGAUGUAUGUCACCAAGUCACAGGUGAUAAAUAUGUUACAUUAUUUCCCCCUCCUUUCAUACAUUUUAUUGCCUAUUAAAUCUAAUUAACCAAAUUUUAGUAGAUAUAACAGCAAAUUAUCUAAUUUUGCUUUUCAUGCUAACCCCUGAAAGCAGGAGGAAAAAACAAUUUGAAAUAGAAAUUAAAAAGCAGAAAAUGAAAAUAUUCUGAAAAAUGUUUUGCAAUACCAUUUCUGGAAAUAGAGAUGCUGACAUAUAUACAUUACAGACCUUGACCAAACUGUCCCAUGGAAGUAUUUGCCCAGGAUAUAGUCUCUGUUUCUUUUUCUAUUGUCUUACAGAACUUAAAUCAUUUGUUUUGUGUUUUUCUAAUAUAAACAUUUAAAAUUAUAGAUGUCUAAGUACUACCUUAGCUAAAUUACACACAUUUGAAUAUGCUCUAAAUUUGUUAUGGUUCAUUUAUAAAUAUCUUCUAUUUCCUGAGUAUAUUGUUUAUUUUGAAAUAUUGGGAGAUUUUUCUAGAUAUUUAGUUAUUUCAAAUUUAGCUUCAUUGUGAUCAAAGAACAUAUUCUACAUGAUUUUGGUCCUUUUUAGUGUAUUAAAACUUUAAUGGAUCAGCAUAUGGUCUAUUUUGAAUGCAUAUGUGCACUUGAACAGAAUGCACAUUUUCUGGAGUUUUGGAUGUUAUGUUUUAUAAAUAUCUACUAGUUGAAACUGUUAGACAGUGUUAUUUAUGUUUUCUAUAUUUCUUUACUGACAUUUUUUGGGGGCUGAGGUUGGUUUGUUCUAUAAGUUAUUGCUCCAACCAGAGUUGUAGAAUUGUAGAAAUUGUCUAUUUCUUGGUUUAUGUCAAUUUUUGCUUUGUAUAUUUUGAGUCUCUGCUAUGAUGAACCUAUACAUUUCUGAUCACUGUCUUCCAGAUGAAGUGACCAUUUAUCAUUAUGAUAAGAUUAUCUUUGAUCAUAUAGAUUAUCUUAAAGUUUGGUUUAUCUGAUAUUAAUAUAACCAUUCCAUUUUUAAAAAUAUUUAUUUUUUAGGUGUAGAUGGACACAACACAAUGCCUUUAUUUUUAUGUGGUGCUGAGGAUUGAACCCGGGUCCCACCCGUGCUAGGCGAGUGCUCUACUGCUGAGCCACAAUCCCAGCCCCAACCAUUCCAUUUUUUUCCAAAGUGAAUGUCAAUAUUUGAAAGUUAUCUAAAUCCAUUUACCUCUUAAGAGCAUUAUUUUCUCUUUGUUUCUAAUAUAAAAUUUAAUUUCUCCUAAAACAGGAUAUUUAUUUUCUUUCAGAUUUGCUGUCCAGUUAUGAAACUAAGGUAUUAUCUAUAAAAAAUGACAUUUUUAAAAAUAAAUUGUUAAAAUACAAAAUAAUGGAAAGAGAAGUUCUUGCCUUGAGGAACUUUUUUCUUGGAGACGAUUGGAAAUGCAGGGAAUUCUUUGAGCAAAAACAGGAAUCUAAAGAAGACUAUUUCUGGCAUGUGAGAGUCACAUUUGAAAAAGUAGCAACCAAAUUCAUUCAGCCUACAUCUCUUGUUCUAAAUCAAACAGUUCACACUGGAAAGAAACACUGCACAGAAAAAAUGUGAAAACCUCACCCAACAGGCAAGAAUUCAUCAGUGGCAAAGUUGAUGAAAUGUGUAAAAAGGCCUUUAUAUCUUACAUAAAUCAGAUGAAACAUCAACAGUUUUACUGGCAUAUUAAGAUAUAUGAUGGAGAAUCUGUGUAUAACUUCCAACUUAAUAAUCAAAUAAAUUUUGUGGUAUAUAUGUGUAAUAAGAAUUGUAAUGCAAAAAAGUACAUGUAUAAAGACAUGAAUUGGCAUGAACAUACUUUACAUACAAAGAUAUGAAAAUUGUGCUCUAUAUGUGUAAUAAGAAUUGUAAUGCAUUCCGCUGUCCUGUA
rnacentral:lncRNA from 1 species